rnacentral:rRNA from 1 species
CCUACGGGAGGCAGCAGUGGGGAAUAUUGGGCAAUGGAGGCAACUCUGACCCAGCAACGCCGCGUGAAUGAUGAAGGUCUUCGGAUUGUAAAGUUCUGUGAUGGGGGAUGAACACAAUGACGGUACCCCAAUAGCAAGCCACGGCUAACUACGUGCCAGCAGCCGCGGUAAUACGUAGGUGGCAAGCGUUAUCCGGAAUGACUGGGGGAAAAGGGUGCGUAGGUGGUUUAGUAAGUUGGCGGUGUAAUUCCGGGGCUCAACCCCGGCCUGCCGUCGGAACUGGGUGCCUUGAGUGGGCGAGAAGUAUGCGGAAUGCGUGGUGUAGCGGUGAAAUGCUUAGAUAUCACGAAGAACUCCGAUUGCGAAGGCAGUUCACUGGACUGCAACUGACACUGAGGCUCGAAAGUGUGGGUAUCAAACAGGAUUAGAUACCCUGGUAGUC